rnacentral:lncRNA from 1 species
CAGAUCAAACGCAAUGGAAUGCCCAGAUCAAAAGUGGAUGGGUAUAAAUAACCCCUAUCCACACCAAACCCUAACCCUAGCCACCAAAACCCCUCACCGGAGAAGAUGACCCACCUACCGGGGAGCCGACCACCCCCACCCGCAGCCGCAUCGGAACCCUUUCCGACCACUAAAAAAGGUAAAAACUUUUCCUUUUGCAUGAUAUUCAAUUUUAAGCUCACCCACGGUCAAAUCGGAGUGAAAGGACUAGUUAAUUGGCCGAAAAACACCGACGAAGCUCGGUGAUGCCGCCGUGGGGAAUUUCAUAAAUUGUCUCCGAUGAGGCCAUUCCUGAUUCUUGUUUCGUGUAAUUGUUUCACCGUUAUGAUCACCGUUUUCUUCUCUAUAGGUUGACCAAAGGGAAACAUCCAACCACAACGUGAAUCGGAGGAGCCGCCGCACGGGAGAGCCCCACCGCCGGUGAGUUUUGAUUUUUCACAUUUUUUGGGCCAAUCGAGGCCCUUUAGCGUGUGUGCUCAUAGUAAUCGAUGCAAAAUCGGUCAAAUUUAGCUGAAAACGACCCAAAUUGACCGACCUGAGGCAGACUGCCGUCGUGCCAGAUCUCCAAAAUUGGCCGAGUGGGCCCUGGGACU